rnacentral:rRNA from 1 species
CCUACGUGAGGCAGCAGUGGGGAAUAUUUCACAAUGGGGGGAACCCUGAUGCAGCAACGCCGCGUGGGUGAAGAAGUACUCCGGUAUGUAAAGCCCUGUCAGCCGGGCAGACAAUGACGGUACCUGACCAAGAUGCCCCGACUAACUACGUGCCAGCAGCCGCGGUAAUACGUAGUGUGCAGGCGUUAUCCGGAUUGACUGGGUGUUAAGGGAGCGUAGACGGCAAGGCAAGUCUGGAGUGAAAGCUCGUGGCGCAACCCCGGGACUGCUUUGGAAACUGUGUUGCUGGAGUGCAGGAGGGGUAAGCGGAAUGCAUAGUGUAGCGGUGAAAUGCGUAGAUAUUAGGAGGAACACCGGUGGCGAAGGCGGCUUACUGGACUGUAACGGACGUUGAGGCUCGAAGGCGUGGGGAGCAAACAGGAUUAGAUACCCUUGUAGUC